rnacentral:rRNA from 1 species
GAUGAACGCUGGCGGCGUGCUUAACACAUGCAAGUCGAACGAAGAUGCCGGAGUGCUUGCACUUUGGCAGACUGAGUGGCGGACGGGUGAGUAACGCGUGGGUAACCUGCCUUAUACAGGGGGAUAACAGUUGGAAACGACUGCUAAUACCGCAUAAGCGCACGGUAUCGCAUGAUACAGUGUGAAAAACUCCGGUGGUAUAAGAUGGACCCGCGUCUGAUUAGCUUGUUGGUGAGGUAACGGCCCACCAAGGCGACGAUCAGUAGCCGGCCUGAGAGGGUGAACGGCCACAUUGGGACUGAGACACGGCCCAAACUCCUACGGGAGGCAGCAGUGGGGAAUAUUGCACAAUGGGGGAAACCCUGAUCCGNAGCGACGCCGCGUGAGUGAUAGAAGUAUUUCGGUAUAGUAAACUCUAUCAG